rnacentral:rRNA from 1 species
AUGACGAUAGUGGAGUUGCAAGUGCAUGGAUGGCAAAAACGCGGCAUCCAAGUAAUGGUGCUUCUGAGCUUCGCAAUGCAGCUAGUGCUUCUCGUCCUGGCGGAGUUCCGUCGGCGCAUAGACUCUGGCGUGCUAAGGGCCUUUAUUUGGUCAGCGUUCAUCUUGGCUGAUUCAAUAGCAAUAUACACCCUAGGUCACUUGUCUGUGACGAGCAGGUCAGAAGACCACGAGCUGAUGGCUUUCUGGGCACCAUUCCUGCUAAUACACCUUGGUGGGCAGGACAACAUCACCGCAUACGCCAUUGAGGACAAUCGGCUCUGGUUGCGGCACCUACAGGUACUCGUCGUGCAGGUCGCUGCGGCCGCCUAUGUCCUCUAUGAGUCCGUUGUCGUCGGCACCCAUGCACGGAUCUGGAAUGCCGCAGCCCUCAUAUUUAUGGUGGGCGUUAUCAAGUACGGCGAGAGGGUGUGGGCGCUGAAGCGUGCCGGCACUAGCGCAUCAGGACACACGUACCAGACCUUCGAUAACAGGACAGAUUCUUCAGAAGGACCUCCUACGGAUUGGGGGGACACCGAGGGCCUGCUGCGGAUAGCCCACCUCUUGUUGGAUAUUCCGAAGGAUCUCUUGCAGGGACCAUUGCCCAGAAUAGUGGUACACCUAGGUCAGUACAAACAUCCCAUCCCCUCUGAUAAACUGUUAAAGGUGGUGGAGAUGCAACUCAGCCUAAUGCACGAUGUUGUGUACAGCAAGGCCGAGGUGAUGCACACAUGGUAUGGGCUCUGCAUACGCGUCAUUUCUCCUGUGUUUAUAGUCAUUGCGUUCGUGCUAUUCCAUAGGUCAGAUUUAUCUGCGGGUGACCACCACCAUAGCAGAGCAGACAUUGUCAUCACAUAUGUUCUCUUAGGUGGGGCUGUUACACUGGAGAUGGUAUCAGUGCUAAGGGCCAUGUUCUCGAGAUGGCCAACUGUGAUCCUAGGGAAGUUGUCCUAUGAUGAAGUCAGGGGGAAAAGAAUGAGAAUGUGGGGUUUGCUUGCCCAUGCAAUCGCGUCUAUCCGUCGGUUCGUUCUUCCGAAGAGGGAUGAUUCAAGAUGGUGGUGGUCAAACUCUAUGGGACAACACAACCUAAUUGAUUUGUGUGUUCACAGCAGGGCCAGCCAAGGAAGCAGGAUUGCAAGCUGGAUGUGGAUAGAGGACUGGUGGAACAAAAUGGUAUACUCGAGCUCCAUCACUGUCUCCACAACCAUCAAGGACCUAGUGGUGAAACAAGUUCUCGAGAGUGAGCCGAGCCCCUAUGAAGUCGGCUACUCUAGGGCGAAGGAGGAGGGGCUGGAUCAUAUCACCAAUUCACGGGGCAGAGCGGCCUUAAUUAACUGGCCGCAUUUGGGCAUCAAACUGGAGCGGGUCAUGGUGGAUUUGGAUAAGAGUAUCCUCAUGUGGCACAUCGCCACGGACAUCUACCUCCGUACGCAUAGAGAUCUGUGGUCUAAAGAUGAUGAUGUCCGUCGCCUUGCCGAGGCAAUCAAGGCAAUGUCCGAUUACAUAGUUUUCCUACUUGCAGCACGCCCCCACAUGCUGCCGGACUCCGUCGGCCGCACUAAGUAUGUUGAAAUGUGCUAUUGUCUCACCGGUCUCAGAUACAGCACAACCCGUGAAUUGACUAGUAGAUUGCUAGACUUGUCGACCAAACAGAGCCCAGACUAUUUUACGUCGGUAAAUAUGGUAAAUAUAGCGGAUACUCAGAAGGUGCAACACAUUCGCGAUAAUGAAACACUGGCUGCAGCAUGUGAGCUUGCUCGCGAGCUGAGUGUUGCAAAGCUUGGCCAACCCACUGAUGUGCUGAAGAUGCUCGCGGAAGUGUGGACAGAGAUGUUAUGCUAUACCGGGUACAGAUGCAGCGGGUAUUCUCAUGCCAAGCAGCUCAGCAACGGUGGCGAACUCCUCACCGUGGCUGCCCUUGUGGUGGAGUACUUCAGAAGUUACGUCCUCAAACAUGUGAGCAACCAUGAAUCUGAUCAGUUGCAGGAGCCAUGA